ensembl:lncRNA
AUGUAUUUAUUUUGUCUUGCUUUAUAUUCUUUAUUUUUCAGUGCCAGUGCCUGCCAUCUUACAAACUUCCGCUCAUGUGUCAGCUGUUGCCAGACCCCAGUGAAUCUGGCUGCCAGGCAUCUCCUGCCAGAGCCUAACUUUUCAGCACACUUCCGUCUAGAGCACCUGAGGCAAACUGGCCCAGAACCAAACUCGUGUGAUGGGUUUGGCUCCCACGUACAGAAGCAUUUCUGAAGCCACCCUCAACCUACUUCAAGCAUUGGUUCAUUAGACAAGGUGAUUGAAAUCUAGCAAGUACGUUCAGUGCACCUAAACACCCCACAACCUGUUCAUUUCAAGAGCAGCUUUUCAAAGGUGGGAAGUUUUAACUUGGUAAGAGACUUGUAACAGACCCUGCAGGGUCUCAUUACAGAAUAAGUCUUGGUUUUGUUGUAGCUGUAACAGAACUUGAUUUGUACCUAAGCUUUCCUGUUGGACCUGUUUUCUGGAAGCUGCUCAGAAACAGCUCAACAGUGUAUCUGUUAAGAGCUUUUUAUGCUGCUAGAGCACCAGGUUUGUUUAACUAAAUUUCAGAACAUUUUAAAAAAAAUCUUUGAAUUAGAUGGAAAAUAGUUUCCAUUUCUUAGCAAAAAGACAAAAUGGGAAAUUAUAUCCUUUUGUAUGUACUCAAGUGCUUCUAAGCAGCACGUUACACUGCUUGCAUAAUGUCCUAAUAAUCGUCCUAAAUCUGUCAGAAGGAAAGAUACACCUAAAAACCUGCAAAGUGGUGAUGCUCCCACCCCCACCAUCAGGUGGUUAAAAAGGCAUUUAUGUCCUGUAGUUAGAAACAAUUUUAUCCUACUACAACUCUCUCUCUUUGCUUGUUAUGGUACUUCUAAUACGUCAGUCCCAUUUGGGAAAGGAAAGGAGAAUGUUUUCUACUGCUUACAGCUUACAAAACAGUAGAACAACAUUGUUUUCAGGAUACUUUGUGUUCUCACAGUGAUUUCCACCUUCCUACUUCACUGGGUCUCAGUCUCCUGCUCUGAAGAUACAUGUCCAAUGAAUUAGUAGAGUAAAACAUCCUUUACUAAAACUUUUUCCUUUCCUUUAACAUAUUAGUCACCUUAUGAGCAUGAACACUUUUUCUAGCCAAGUCAAAAUUCCCUAUAUUUGAGAAAAAAAAAAUCUAUUAUAUCUUUCCUUGCACUUUUAUAAGUAAAUAUUAUCUUUCUCAAACACCAACUUAAAUCGCUUUUUCUUUGUUGGCCUCUCCAAGGUAUUCACAUCCAAACAUGAUUAUAUGGCCGUAUCUGCUAGUUCUUUUGGGAAACAGCUAUACAGAUUUGAUGUACUGGGGGUUUACAACACCACUAUACUUUACCUGAAUGCAAUUAAUUGGGGGGGGUGGGGGGGGUGGGUUGGGGAGCAGAAGUGAAGGGGACAAUUGCUUUGGUGCAAUGCAGUAGUGUCUGAGAAUACAAUCUCAUUGAAAUGAUGGAAACUUAAGAAAAGUUUUAUAAAGAUGAUCUGAACUGAGGUUGUUUAUGGCAUAGAUAAGGCCAUGUAUCUUUCGCAAACAUGAGACCAUAGAAAAUUCCUCAGCUACUAUGAUAGUUAAGAGGAUUUUUCUUAAUAAUCUGACUACAACACAUUUUCCUUCAUUGAGACUUAUCUCAAAGUCAGUUGAAGAAUUUUUUUGAUUAAAAGAAAAAAUACAAAUGCAUUUUUUAGCUGGCUAUCUAAGGAGGGAAUGUGGGGGAAAAAAAUCAGCUGCACUGCAACUUCUCUUGAGAAAACAAUUGGACUCCAGAACUAUUAGAAUGUCAUGCUUUGUAAAUCACUAAGCUAUUUAAUAGAAGUUCACACUCUUCAAUAAAAGGUACUCAGCUUGAACUGUCAAAUUAUGUGGUGUUGCUGUGGGGUUUUGGUUUUUUUUUUGAACUUAAAACUUCAGGCUCGGUGAAGCAUUUGCCUAGACUGAAUGUGCAAGGUGCCAUGGAUUAACAACACGGACCCAUAUGGAAUGUGUUUGAAGUUUUCAAGAAGUUAUCCUGCCAGCCUUCAUUCCUUAAUGACCUUUGAUACACCUUGGAUAGUGGAAAGGCAGUUCAGAAUCAUAUCUUGUGAUCAUAUGAUUUGGCAGCUAUCAGAAGAUGAAGGAUGCUAGAAGUUAAGGCUUUUAUCCACAAACAAUGGUGUAUAUUAAUAAACUCUAUACCAUAUUUACAAAUGCUUUCUCUUGUAUUAAAACUAACAGUAUUCUGUUCACAGUGCCAAUGUUUUUACAGGUAGCAAUCCCACAGUACUCCAGUAUUUUGGCAUGGGAAUCAGUAGCGCUUUGUAUUUACAGAAAAUGUACAUAUAUGAUUAUAAACAUGUUACUUGAAACAGUACUCAAAAGAUAGAUCUGUUCAUGUUUCAAAGGUUUAGACUGUACAACACCUUCCCUUUUGGCUGCGAGGGAAUACUGCUCCUUGCAAUGAGAAGAUGCCCGUCUUUUCCAAAGUGGCAUAAAAAU